rnacentral:rRNA from 1 species
GUCCACGCCUAACGAUGUCUACUAGUUGUUGGUGGAGUAAAUCCAUGAGUAACGCAGCUAACGCGUGAAGUAGACCGCCUGGGAGUACGGUCGCAAGAUUAAACUCAAAUGAAUUGACGGGGCCCGCACAAGCGGUGGAUUAUGUGGAUUAAUUCGAUGCAACGCGAAACCUUAACCUGGCCUUGACAUGUAACGAACUUUCCAGAGAUGGAUUGGUGCUCGAAAGAGAACGUUAACACAGGUGCUGCAUGGCUGUCGU